AAAACUUUCAACAACGGAUCUCUUAGGCUCUGGCAUCGAUGAAGAACGCAGCGAAAUGCGAUAAGUAAUGUGAAUUGCAGAAUCCAGUGAAUCAUCGAAUCUUUGAACGCACAUUGCGCCCGCCAGCAUUCUGGCGGGCAUGCCUGUUCGAGCGUCAUUUC
rnacentral:rRNA from 1 species